UAGAUUCAUUUUUCUGCAGUUUUCUGUAUUUAAGUUAAUUUUCCAGGUAAGAAGUUACAGUUGCUUUUUUGGUAUGUGUGCACAGAUGCCAGGACAGGGCUUGAACUCAGAGCAUGGUUGGUGUUUUUUUUUUUUUUUUUUUUUUUGGCCAGUCCUGGGCCUUGGACU